GAUUCCGCACAAGAACUUGCUCAUAUGGAACCAAACUGUCCCCUUUGCUUGUAGGCAAAGAGGGGAUGAAAUGCUUGCAAAUAUCUAUCAAAAACGGUAUUACUGUAGCUCAGUUGGCCAUCUGGUACAGAACACAGGCUGUGAAGUCACACAACAGGAUUUGGGCUCAGAACCAAUGACGAUACUACUGUAAUACCGACAGACCCUGGUCUCAGUGGGCCAGAUCAAACCUGGGAUCUCUGGAGCUAAAUGCAUGAGUCUCUACUGCAUGAGUGACUGUCCAGGAUGGAAGUUAAAGAUCCAAUGUGUUCCUUAUCCACCCUGUUCCUCCACAUAGCACGGAAAGACAGUUUUAAGCCAGUGUUCCCCCGUCUCAAGAGAACAAGAAGAUCUGCUCUCCAAC